rnacentral:rRNA from 1 species
GACGAACGCUGGCGGCGUGCCUAACACAUGCAAGUUGAGCGACGAACCAGGGCUUGCCCUGGGGCAAAGCAGCGAACGGGUGAGUAACACGUGGGUAACCUACCCCGAUAACCGGGACAACCCGAGGAAACUCGGGCUAAUACCGGAUGUGCUCACUGGACUUCGGUUCAGUGCGUAAAGGAAGCUUCGGCCUCCGUAUCGGGAGGGGCCCGCGGCCCAUUAGUUUGUUGGUGAGGUAUCGGCUCACCAAGACCGCGAUGGGUAGCUGGUCUGAGAGGACGAUCAGCCACACUGGGACUGAGACACGGCCCAGACUCCUACGGGAGGCAGCAGUGGGGAAUCUUGCGCAAUGCGCGAAAGCGUGACGCAGCAACGCCGCGUGGGGGAAGAAGGCCUUCGGGUUGUAAACCCCUUUCAGGAGGGACGAAGGUUCGGCGGUGAAUAGCCGUCCGGACUGACGGUACCUCCACAAGAAGCCCCGGCUAACUACGUG